rnacentral:rRNA from 1 species
GAUGAACGCUGGCGGCGUGCUUAACACAUGCAAGUCGAACGAAGCAGUAUGGAAGGAGACUUCGGUUGAAUGAAGUACUGACUGAGUGGCGGACGGGUGAGUAACGCGUGGGUAACCUGCCUCAUACAGGGGGAUAACAGUUAGAAAUGACUGCUAAUACCGCAUAAGCGCACAGGACCGCAUGGUCCGGUGUGAAAAACUCCGGUGGUAUGAGAUGGACCCGCGUUGGAUUAGAUAGUUGGCGGGGUAACGGCCCACCAAGUCGACGAUCCAUAGCCGGCCUGAGAGGGUGAACGGCCACAUUGGGACUGAGACACGGCCCAA